UCACGCUUUUCUAAGAAAACUGCCCAAUUUUAUUUUUUUUCAUGAAUAAUUUACAAGGUCACAAACCCAAUCCACCCAGCUUUCUCAAUCAGGUUCAAUUCACUUCUUCACCCAAUUAAUAGGUUGUAAUCGUCGUCUUCUUCUCGUCUUCUCCUUUUUUUUUCCCUCUCUCCUUCUCAUCUUUCUCUCUCAUCGAUUCUUAAAUCUCUAAUUUUCUGCAUUUUUUCAUUGCUCUCAAACCCUAAUAAUCGACGGCAAUAGAUUAUUCUUCUUUUAUUUUUGUUUUUCUAUACAUUUAUUAAUUAUUAUCUGUAUUUGAUUUUGCUUUCCAUAAUCUUGAUUAUUUUUUCGAUUAAUUUUUGGAAUUCUAUCUGUUGUAAUUUGUUAAAUUUUCUAAUAAUUUUUUUUUGAUGUUUUUGGUUUGACGAACCAUUUUGCCGAUUAAAAAGGUUUUGAUUGAAUGUGGAUAUGCUGAAUUGCUGGGUUUAAGCCACUUCUUCUUUCUUCUCUCCUUUUCUCUCACUCUCUAUCUCUCCUCUGCGGCGCCUCCAUUGCUUCCCCUGAACCUCAUCUUACAACCCCUCAAUUUUGGCGGAACAGACACAGAAGGCCUUUUUGAAGCAGCCUAAAGUGUUUCUGAGCUCGAGGAAAACUGGCCUGGAAAGGGAAAGCAACCUGGGAAAGGAGGAAACAGGUUCUGGAAGAGUAUUGGUUUGGGUUUCAAGACUCUCAGAGAAGCUAUUGAAGGGUAUCAAGAUCCAUUGGAUAUGUGUAAAUAGUGCUAAAGGUGGAUAUUGAAGCAGAAGAAGAUGCUUCCCCGAUUGCUUUACUUGAGAAAUUAGAGAAGAAAGAUAAAAAAAUGAUAAUGCGAUUCAAAGAAUUGCCCAAAAUAUUGUUUGGGGGACAAUGAUUUAGUUUUAACUUUUAAGUGUAUUUUAUUUAGUUUAGUUAGUAAUAAUUUAAUUUUGUAAUUUUCCUUAUAGAUAACAUUGUAUAAACUUUUAAUUCAUAUUAAUAAAAUUCUUUUUUUUUUUUUGAAAUUUUU